rnacentral:rRNA from 1 species
ACCCAGACUCCUACGGGAGGCAGCAGUGGGGAAUAUUGCACAAUGGGGGAAACCCUGAUGCAGCGACGCCGCGUGAGCGAUGAAGUAUUUCGGUAUGUAAAGCUCUCUCAGCAGGGGAGAAGAUGACGGUACCUGACUAAGAAGCCCUGGCUAACUACGUGCCAGCAGCCGCGGUAAUACGUAGGGGGCAAGCGUUAUCCGGAUUCACUGGGUGUAAAGGGAGCGUAGACGGCCAAGCAAGCCAGGGGUGAAAGCCCGGGGCCCAACCCCGGGACUGCCCUUGGAACUGCAUGGCUGGAGUGCGGGAGGGGCAGGCGGAAUUCCUGGUGUAGCGGUGAAAUGCGUAGAUAUCAGGAGGAACACCGGCGGCGAAGGCGGCCUGCUGGACCGUAACUGACGUUGAGGCUCGAAAGCGUGGGGAGCAAACAGGAUUAGAUACCCUCGUAGUC